UACGAAGGGGGCUAGCGUUGCUCGGAAUGACUGGGCGUAAAGGGCGCGUAGGCGGAUGGCACAGUCAGAUGUGAAAUUCCCGGGCUUAACCCCGGGCGUGCAGUGGAUACGGGCAGACUGGAGUACUGCAGGGGAGACUGGAAUUCCUGGUGUAGCGGUGGAAUGCGCAGAUAUCAGGAGGAACACCGGUGGCGAAGGCGGGUCUCUGGGCAGUAACUGACGCUGAGGAGCGAAAGCGUGGGGAGCGAACAGG
rnacentral:rRNA from 1 species